rnacentral:rRNA from 1 species
AACGAACGCUGGCGGCGUGCCUAACACAUGCAAGUCGAGCGGGAAAGUUCCCUUCGGGGAGCGAGUACAGCGGCGAACGGGUGAGUAACACGUAGGUAACCUACCCUGGAGAUCGGGAUAACCUGCCGAAAGGCGGGCUAAUACCGGAUAAGACCACGAGGGCUGCGGCCCUUGAGGAAAAAGAUGGCCUCUGCUUGCAAGCUAUCACUCUGGGAUGGGCCUGCGCGCCAUUAGCAGUUGGUGAGGUAACGGCUCACCAAGGCUGAGAUGGCUAGCUGGUCUGAGAGGAUGGCCAGCCACACUGGGACUGAGACACGGCCCAGACUCCUACGGGAGGCAGCAGUGGGGAAUAUUGCGCAAUGGGCGAAAGCCUGACGCAGCGACGCCGCGUGGGUGAUGAAGGCCUUC